rnacentral:tRNA from 1 species
UCCUGGUAGCUCAGUGGGAGAGCACUACACUGGAAAUGGAGAGGUCCCGGGUCGAUACGCGGACCAGGAG